rnacentral:tRNA from 1 species
CAAAGAAUAGUUUAGUUUAGAAUCCUAGCUUUGGGGGCUAGGGGUGAGAGUUUAAAUCUCUUUUCUUUGA